CCUCAAGGGGCGCAGGAGUGGAACAGUUUUGUCCUGGGACAUACCACUGACAGGAAGAGAGAUCCAGCAGCGGACCGCAAAGGGGCCAGCGAUUGGUUCUGGGAUGUGAGGGGCAGGGUCAAGGGCCUUUCUGGGUGAUGAUUGGUCACCGAGAGAGCUAAAACUACAACCUCAGUGGUCCCGUGAUGCUGUGAUGCUCCAGGACAAGAUUACACCAGCUGAAGACAUCCUGGGAGGAACAAAAUCUUCAUCUGCAUAGUUCCUCAUUGAUCUAGGAUAUCUGCCGCCUGCCUCGCAAGUGCAAGGUCCUGAGUUCGAUCCCUGUUACCAAAAAAAAAAGUUCUUUACAUUUUCAGAUCUCCCCAUGUUGUGUCUUACUUUUGGGGAAGAGAAUAGGAGGAGGAAGGAGCAAAAACAGUGUCUCAUUGGAGUCCCCAAAAGUGGACAUGCUAUUGGAUCCCAUGUGUGAGAACUCGGAGUGAAUUGCCCCCUCCCUCUGAGAGUGUGAGUAAAUUUUUUUCCUCAGGACCUCCCAUAUGUGAGUUUCUGACCUCAACUAUUGGAUUUCAAAAUACAUAUUAACUCAAGAGUGUGACUGAUGUCUUGAGAGCUUAGGUUGUGGUAGGAUUAUACUCUGCUGGUUGCUUUUCCAAAGACCAAGAGC
ensembl:lncRNA